ACGGAAGGCAGCAGUGAGGAAUAUUGGUCAAUGGGCGGAAGCCUGAACCAGCCAUGCCGCGUGAAGGAAUAAGGCCCUAUGGGUCGUAAACUUCUUUUGACGUAGAGCAAUAAGGUCCACGCGUGGAUCGAUGAGAGUACACGUCGAAUAAGCAUCGGCUAACUCCGUGCCAGCAGCCGCGGUAAUACGGAGGAUGCAAGCGUUAUCCGGAUUUAUUGGGUUUAAAGGGAGCGUAGGCCGUGCUUUAAGCGUGUUGUGAAAUGUAGGCGCCCAACGUCUGCACUGCAGCGCGAACUGGAGCACUUGAGUACGCAGGAAGUAGGCGGAAUUCGUCGUGUAGCGGUGAAAUGCUUAGAUAUGACGAAGAACUCCGAUUGGGAAGCCAGCUUACUGUAGCGCCACUGACGCUGAUGCUCGAAAGCGUGGGUAUCGAACAGGAUUAGAUACCCUGGUA
rnacentral:rRNA from 1 species